CCCCAACUUCCAAAUUGCGAGCUCGGAGCACGGAUCAGAUCGCCGAGUCGCGCGCCCCUCGCCCCCCGCUCCAUCCCACUUCGUCCGGAGCCUCAGGUUCCACACCUUCUUCAUUGACCAAAGUUCACAUCCUCCGAGCAGGAAGAGAUGAUAUAUCAUAAAAAUAUUUCAUAAGGGAAAGGAACACAACACAAGCAUGGAAAUGCUUCUCCUACAAGGCAAGGAGAUUCACAGAUCAUUCGGAAGGAAAGCAUCGAAAACGAGUUUCCAAGUGAUAAACAUGAAUUCUGUGUACCCAGACAGAAAAAUGUUUUGUCCCUAUUUGUCACAUUUUGACAGUUUUUUCUCAUUGAUGUGUAUUACGUGCUAUACAAACGGGGAAGAAUCAGUACAGUUCCCUUUUAUCAUGUAUA